rnacentral:lncRNA from 1 species
CACAUUCUUCCUGUAGAUCUGUCAUAUGGUGGGAUCUGUUUUUAUGAAAAACAACAACUUCCUGUUUUGGAAGAGAGAAACUUUGAGCUGCUUAACACAACAUUGUCAUCUUUGAGUCAUGGUGCAAUUAUUCCAUUGUGGUCAAAGUUGUCAACACCAUUUAAUGAAUCUGCUGAUAGAACCAAACAGUAUUACAAGCGCAAUUAUGGAUUGGACCAUGAAAUAUCUCCCUAAUAUGUUUCUAGAGAAGCAAUCAGAUUGGUACGGACAGAAGAGAAAAACUGGCAUGUCAUUGUAGGAAUAUUCAAGAGUGAAAAUAAAGACUUGAAGGUAAACUUACAGUUCUUAAUCAUUUAAUAAAAUUGAGAAUGGAAAUGGGGAAUGUGCCAAAGAGACAACAACCCGACCAUAGAAAAAAACAACAGCAGAAGGUCACCAACAGGUCUUCAAUGAAGCGAGAAAUUCCCGCACCCGUAGGCGUCCUUCAGCUGGCCCCUAAACAAAUAUAUACUAGUUCAGUGAUAAUGAACGCCAUACUAAUUUCCAAAUUGUACACAAGAAACUAAAAUUAGAAUAAUACAAGACUAACAAAGGCCAGAGGCUCCUGACUUGGGACAGGCGCAACAAUGCGGCGGGGUUAAACAUGUUUGUGAGAUCUCAACCCUCUCCCUAUACCUCUAGCCAAUGUAGAAAAGUAAACGCAUAACAAUACGCAAAUCAAAAUUCAGUUCAAGAGAAGUCUGAGUCUGAUGUCAGAAGAUGUAACCAAAGAAAAUAAACAAAAUGACAAUAAUACAUAAAUAACAACAGACUACUAGCAGUUAACUGACAUGUUUAGUUUGCUAUACUAUAUUGCAUUUGUGAAACCCUGUUAAUUUUUUGCUCACAUGACUAAAAGUCAGGGUGAGAGUUUGCCAUCACUGUUGUGUCUGUCAAGAUCAACAACAAAAUUCUGCAAGAUUUUCUAUUUGAGAGUUAUCUCUCUUUAAAAGAUGAAAUUUAGUGAUUUUUUAUAUAUUUGCUUAUAUCUUGAAAACUGUUAGACCUUGAAUCAAAAUUAAAAUUACAAAAUAUUCAGCUGAUGACUUUACUUCAAAAGGUCUGCAAGGGCUAAAUUGUCUCUCUUUAAAACCAGUAAAAUACUGAUUGUUGCUAACAUCUUAAAAACCACGGAACCUGGGGGAAAAGUUUUACUUGCACUACUGAUUUAAUAACUCAUCAUGAGCUAUUAAAAAAGUCUUUCGUCAAAAUUGCCAUUUUAUGUUUUAAGAGUUGAAACAUUCACACAUUUGAAUGAUUCAGAUUCCUUGUAGCCUCUAGUUAUAGCUUGAUACUACUCACAUGGUGACUCAAUUAAAACAUUUUUGGUCGUUUAUAAUUCUUCACAUCAAAUGUCCCACUGUACAUAAUACAUGACCUCUAAGAUUGUUUCAGACGCGAACUCUGUAUAGCUUAUUACUCAAAUUAGGGUCCUACUAAAAUGCCCCCGGAAGCGCUCGGGUGAAGAAAAAGCGCCCAGGGAAAAGAAAAGGCGCCCUGGGAAAGUAUAUAGAUAUUUUAUUGGUAUGAGAUAACUUUGUGUUGAUGAAAUAAGUUAUGCACAUUAAUUUUUAGCUCACCUGGCCCGAAGGGCCAAGUGAGCUUUUCUCACCACUUGGCGUCCGUCGUCCGUCGUCGUCCGGCGUCGUCCGUCGUCGUCCGGCGUCGUCCGUCGUCGUCGUCGUUAACAAUUUACAUUUUGAACUUCUUCUAGAGAACCACUGAAUGGAAUGGAACCAAACAUGGCAUGAAUGUUCCUUAUGAGGUGCUGACCAAGUGUUGUUACUUUGUAGCCGAUCCAUCAUCCAAGAUGGCCGCCAGCCGGGACUUUAGUUUAACAUAGGACGCUAUUGGGAAUGCAUACAAUGACUUCUUUUAGAGAACACUGAAUGGAAUGAAACCAAAACAUGGCAUGAAUGUUCCUUAUGAGGUGCUGACCAAGUGUUGUUACUUUGUUGCCGAUCCAUUAUCCAAGAUGGCCGCCAGCGGGGACUUAGUUUAAAAUAGGACCCUAUUGGAAAUGCAUACAAAUGACUUCUUCUAGUGAACCACUGAAUGGAAUGAAACCAAACAUGCAUGAAUGUUCCUUAUGUGGUGCUGACCAAGUGUUGUUACUUUGUAGCCGAUCCAUCAUCAAAGAUGGCCGCCAGCAGGGGACUUAGUUUAACAUAGGACCUAUGGGACAUGCAUACAAAUGACUUCUUUUAGAGAACCACUGAAUGAAAUAAAACCAAACAUAGCAUGAAUGUUCCUUAUGGGGUACUGACCAAGUGUUGUUACUUUGUAGCCGAUCCAUCAUCAAGAUGCCGCCAGCGGGGACUUAGUUUAACAUAGGACCUAUGGGAAAUUGCAUACAAAUGACUUCUUCUAGAGAACCACUAAAUGGAAUGAAACCAAACAUUGCAUGAAUGUUCCUUAUGGAAUGCUGACCAAGUGUUGUUACUUUGUAGCCGAUCCAUUAUCCAAGAUGGCCGCCAGGGGACUUAGUUUAACAUAGGACCCUAUUGGAAAUGCAUACAAAUGACUUCUUCUAGUGAACCACUGAAUGGAAUGAACCAAACCAUGGCAUGAAUGUUCCUUAUGUGGUGCUGACAAGUGUUGUUACUUUGUAGCCGAUCCAUCAUCAAAGAUGGCCCGCCAGCAGGGGACUUAGUUUAACAUAGACCCUAUGGGACAUGCAUACAAUGACUUCUUUUAGAGAACCACUGAAUGGAAUAAAACCAAACAUAGCAUGAAUGUUCCUUAUGGGUGCUGACCAAGUGUUGUUACUUUGUAGGCCGAUCCAUCAUCCAAGAUGGCCGCCAGCGGGGGGGACUUAGUUUAACAUAGACCCUAUGGGAAAUGCAUACAAAUGACUUCUUUUAGAGAACCACUGAAUGGAAUGAAACCAAACAUGGCAUGAAUGUUCCUUAUGAGGUGCUGACCAAGUGUUGUUAACUUUGUUGCUGAUCCAUCAUCAAGAUGCCGCCAGCCGGGGACUUAGUUUAACAUAGGACCCUAUGGGAAAUGCAUACAAAUGACUUCUUUUAGAGAACCACUGAAAUGGAAUAAAACCAAACAUGCAUGAAUUAUUCCUUAUGGGUGUGCUGGACCAAUGUUGUUACUUUGUAGCCGAUCCAUCAUCCAAGAUGGCCGCCAGCGGGGGACUUAGUUUAACAUAGGACCCUAUGGGAAAUGCAUACAAAUGACUUCUUCUAGAGAACCACUAAAUGGAAUGAAACCAAACAUGGCAUGAAUGUUCCUUAUGUGGUGCUGACCAAGUGUUUGUUACUUUGUAGCCCGAUCCAUCAUUCAAAGAUGGCCGCCAGCAGGGGACUUAGUUUAACAUAGGACCCUAUGGGACAUGCAUACAAAUGACUUCUUUUAGAGAACCACUGAAUGGAAUAAAACCAAACAUUGCAUGAAUGUUCCUUAUGGAAUGCUGACCAAGUGUUGUUACUUUGUAGCCGAUCCAUUAUCCAAGAUGGCCGCCAGCGGGGACUUAGUUUAACAUAGGACCCUAUUGGAAAUGCAUACAAAUGACUUCUUCUAGUGAACCACUGAAUGGAAUGAAAACCAAACAUGGCAUGAAUGUUCCUUAUGUGGUGCUGACCAAGUGUUGUUACUUUGUAGCCGAUCCAUCAUCAAAGAUGGCCGCCAGCAGGGGACUUAGUUUAACAUAGGACCCUAUGGGACAUGCAUACAAAUGACUUCUUUUAGAGAACCACUGAAUGGAAUAAAACCAAACAUAGCAUGAAUGUUCCUUAUGGGGUGCUGACCAAGUGUUGUUACUUUGUAGCCGAUCCAUCAUCCAAGAUGGCCGCCAGCGGGGGACUUAGUUUAACAUAGGACCCUAUGGGAAAUGCAUACAAAUGACUUCUUUUAGAGAACCACUGAAUGGAAUGAAACCAAACAUGGCAUGAAUGUUCCUUAUGAGGUGCUGACCAAGUGUUGUUACUUUGUUUGCUGAUCCAUCAUCCAAGAUGGCCGCCAGCCGGGGACUUAGUUUAACAUAGGACCCUAUGGAAAUGCAUACAAAUGACUUCUUUUAGAGAACCACUGAAUGGAAUAAAACCAAACAUAGCAUGGAAUGUUCCUUAUGGGGUGCUGACACUCAGUGUUGUUUACUUUGUAGCCGAUCCAUCAUCCAAAGAUGACCGCCAGCGGGGGACUUAGUUUAACAUAGGACCCUAUGGGAAAUGCAUACAAAUGACUUCUUCUAGAGAACCACUAAAUGGAAUUAAACCAAACAUAGCAUGAAUGUUCCUUAUGGAGUGCUGACCAAGUGUUGUUACUUUGUAGCUGAUCCAUUAUCCAAGAUGGCCGCCAGCGGGGGACUUAGUUUAACAUAGGACCCUAUUGGAAAUGCAUACAAAUCACUUCUUCUAGUGAACCACUGAUUGGAAUGAAACCAAACAUGGCAUGAAUGUUCCUUAUGUGGUGCUGACCAAGUGUUGUUACUUUGUAGCCGAUCCAUCAUCCAAGAUGGCCGCCAGCGUGGGACUUAGUUUAACAUAGGACCCUAUGGGAAAUGCAUACAAAUGACUUCUUUUAGAGAACCACUGAAUGGAAUGAAAUUAAACAUGGCAUGAAUGUUCCUAAUGUGGUGCUGACCAAGUGUUGUUACUUUGUAGCCGAUCCAUUAUCCAAGAUUGCCGCCAGCGGGGGACUUAGUUUAACAUAGGACCCUAUGGGAAAUGCAUACAAAUGACUUCUUUUAAAGAACCACUGAAUGGAAUAAAACCAAACAUUGCAUGAAUGUUCCUUAUGAGGUGCUGACCAAGUGUUGUUACUUUGUAGCCGAUCCAUCAUCCAAGAUGGCCGCCAGCAGGGGACUUAGUUUAACAUAGGACCCUAUGGGAAAUGCAUACAAAUGACUUCUUUUAGAGAACCACUGAAUGGAAUAAAACCAAACAUGGCAUGAAUGUUCCUUAUGAGGUGCUGACCAAGUGUUGUUACUUUGUAACUGAUCCGUCAUCCAAGAUGGCCGCCAGUGGGGGACUUUUGAAUGAAAUUAAACAUGUUCCUAAAAUUCCUUAUAAAUGAGGUUGUGUUGUCACUUUUAGCCAAAUUUUAUAUUUUUUUAUAUGAUUUCAAAAACCCAAGUAGAAUCAGGUGAGCGAUACAGGCUCUUAAGAGCCUCUAGUUUUUUUAAUUUUAGACAAGUAAUUUUCAAAUUCAGAUAAUAGACAUUUGUAAUAAAACAAGUAUGAAUGUUUCAAUUUUAACAAUAAUAUAAUUUAUGAAUACUAUUUCGAAAGACUGAUUAUAAUGGAUCACAGUUUAUGCGGAAGAUUUAUAAAAUGUAAGACAUCAAAGGCAUGUUUUAUAUAGAAAAUAUUAGACUUCAGGCAUCAUAUGCACAUUUAUAUUAAAGGGAAAUUCCGCGAUUUUUUACUUAUCAUCUAAUUAUGUUCAUCUUAACAUAAAAAACACAUUUGCAAAGUUUUAAAUUUAUAUUCCUUCUAAUAACGGAGAAAAUCAAGUAUUUGAAACUUUUUUGGUUGAAUUCUCGAGUGGGUCGUGACGUAUUAGCCCGAUUUAUUGAAUUCUGGGAAAAAAUAAAAUCUGUUUAACUCUUAUAGCUUAUCGACAAUAUACGUAAUUAAAAGCGCACAGCUGACGAAUGGUCGUAGUCAUUAACCACAAUACAAGAAUGAACGAAAAUGAAUAUGCAUAUACCGUUUUGUUUUGAUGAAUUAAACUCCUAUUAAAUUAUCUCUAGUAAAUGUUUUCGAAUAAAUUUCAUUAAUUAUUGUUGAGAAUUUUUUCAUAAAAUAUUUAUUGAACAUUUUUACUGAUAUUGAACUGAAAUUAUUUCAGUUCUAUUUACCGUUAUUGUUUUGAUAAUCAUUUCAAUGCAACUAAAGUGUGAGCAGAGUGUGUAUAUUAUUUUGUAAAGGUCACUGUAUAUUUCUCGGCUUGAGGUCAAUUUGUUUACCUUGUAGCUAUUUAGCCGCAGGUGUGAGUUCAAGCGUACACAGGUAUAAAUGUUGUUAUUUGGAAAGGAUAAACAGAAAGGGUUAGAAAGAGUAUGCUGUCACGAUUUUAAUACACUAAGAGUUUAAUACACGAUGAGAAUAAAGAUACAAUAAUUAAAUUGUGUAAAUUAAUUGAAAAUAAAAUUUCAGAUUCGUAAUUCCGAAAGUGUAUAAAAAUAAAAGGAAACAAUUUUUGAUUACUUUCUUGGCGGUAAUUGGCGUAAAUGAAGUAAAAAAUGGUAGUUUUAAUCUUUAAUAAAAACUAAAUGCAAUAUUACCCAAUUUGUUAUACCAUUGCCAAUCUGUUUGAUAUCAUUGACUUUACCGGAAUUUUUUAACUUGUAUUCAAAUCUGGCUGUGUUUAAAUUCUUAUAAAACUAUAGCAAUUUUAAAGUUUUUAAUUGAAAAAAAAAAUACAACAUACAAAAUGCAUGAUUUUUUUGUUUUAGUUUCUUUUUAACAUUUUAUUCUUGCAUAAUUAAAUUCAUUUGACAAUCAUUUACACGAACUUUUUAUGAAAAGAAUACCAAUUAUCUAAGCUAAGGCAUUAUUUUUUUUGACAAUUUUUUUUUUUAAAUUCUAUGAUAAUAUUUUGUGCAAUGUUGAACAUGAUAGCCAUCAUUAAUCCAAAUAAGUAAUACAGUAGUUGUAAUAAAACUUAUAUCUUAGUCAUGCAUAACUGAUAUUGACGAAUUUAGAAUAGUUUGUCCAUACAUCGUUGUUCUUGCACAAAUCAUUAUUAGUAUACAUACAUGUAAGUUUCCUGACGUAUAAGCACCACUGAGGAUGAGCUCCAGAGAAAGCAAAAUAGUAGCGUUUCGUUCGUUUGUUUGUUGGGAAAGGAGAGGAAAUGCAACCACUUGUACAGAUAAACGACAGAAUUACCAUACAAGCAUUUAUAGUCAAUACAAACAGAAAGAGUUCCCAUCGUUGGACAGGGAAUAUGAAGGCUUCCAAGAAUGAACUAGUGACAUGUCUAACUCUGAACAGUUAGAAAACGGACUAUCGACAUCGACCGCUUGUUCUUGAUAUUUGAAACUGCAUGCAUAUAUACGUAUACGUUUAUGAUUGUGAUGAGUUCUUGCGACUGACAAAAACUAAAUUCCUUUAUGGUUAUAUCUUGCCAUACUUUUAUAUUGGUUUGUAAGGUGAUUACUAAAAAAUCAUUAUUUGAAAAAUCCUGUUUGUGAGAUGUAGAUUCAUUUCAAUACAGAAAUUUCGUCUAUGAAUUAAGUUCCACAAGUGUAUAACACGGAGAAGCUCUGAGGGUCCAUUACUCCCAUUUUGUUUGGGUGUGAACCAUCGAUGUUUACAGCAAUAUCAAAGAAUAAGAUGAUGAUGGUAGAAAGAUCUAUGGGCGUUAUGUGGCAAAUAGUACAUGCAUAUCGGACCAUGAGUUGUCAAUUUGUAUGAAAAGAUUUCCGAUACAACCAUAUUAUUGAGAAGCAAGGUUUAAAUGCUAUACUCUCGUACUAGUAUUACAGGGUUCUUGUCUUGUGGCGUUCACCUUAGACACACAUCUUUUUAACGAUGUUUAAAAAAACGACAGAACCAAUUUAAUGUCAUAUUUCCAUAUUUUUUUUUAAUGUAACUAAAAGUCUUUUAUCUGACAAGAAUACCCCUAUUUAGCGGACAAGUAAUUUAUUCUUUUUUCUGUUAUUGAAUACCAAGAGAGAAAAUAAAUCCCGAAAUUAAUUUGAAACUUUGAUACUCAAAAGUUUGCCAGCAAAAUAUUCACAUCCCUUGGGGAUAAUUAGUGUUCGUCCAGUGGCAUAUAUUACAAUUGUGAUGACGAAUUCCUUCCUUUGUUCGAGAACAAUCUUAUUGAAAUAUAAAUCUGUGAUUUUACUAUUUCCCGUGACAACUUCAAUGAACCAAAGCAAAAGUUAUACAUCGACCUGUAUUUAAAUCAAAUUGGUUCUCUUCUUCUUCUGGUAUACAAUAGUCUAUCGACAUUCGAUGAUUACCUUCUGUUGGCAUACGUGGACUAGUCUAUUUACAAAACUUUUACUCCAAUUUAUUCAAAUAUAUGGGUUUUUUUCUUAUGUUUAAUGUAUACAUGUAUAUAUUUUAAAUUGCGCUUUAGUUCCAUAACUUUCAACCCAGUCGUAUAAACGAAUCAUCGGCAAGUGCGUACAUUUUAUAAAUCAAUAUUUCUGGUAUGUUCCAAUCUGUCCUUCACCAUUGACAAUGAGUAUAUAUUACAUUUUUCCAAAUUCACCCUUGGAAAAAAUAUUUAAAUAGAUUUUAAUUCCAUCAAAUCUUAUUUUUUGGGUAUUAUUUAUAUUUUUAUGAAUAUAUUUCUUUACACCAGAAAUGUUAUUUAUAAACAAGCGUAUGAGUUUAGUAAUGACAAGUAAGACAGAGUUGUAUAUUAUACAUCUGAUAGUUCAAAAUGGAAAGUUAUAAGUUAUCAGCCGUGUACACUGAUCAAUACAUGCGCAUGAACUUGCAAGCCCGACAGGAAAUCGCUUGAAUACCUGGACGUGUCACCUCACACCCCUCCCAAUACCUUUGAAAGUAAUACCUGUAGCCAUGCUGGUGAUCAGAUGAGGGAAGAUAAAAAGUUAUUUGAAAAAAGUUUAUUACUUUAAAGAAUUAUGAACAAAUUAGAUUUUCGAAAACAAUUUUCACGGAUAACUUAUUUAUGAUUUCAACUUUGACUUUUUACCUAAUUCCAAUAUCAACAGUUUAAAAACAAAAGACCGUGGUAAUUAAAAAAAAAUAAGAAUAUUUUCCGUAUCAACUUGAAGUUAGUAAGUCGGAUAAAACAACCGUACGGUUGCCAAGAUAUCGACAUGCAAUUACGACUACAUCGGUUACUGUAGUUUUGUUCCUUUUGGGUUUAUAGACAUAUCGAUUUUAUUAACCGGGAACGAAGACAAAAUGGCUGAACGGAUGGAAAUGAUUCUCUAAAUUUAAAAUCGAUGGUGAUCGCUUAUCUAGCGGAAUAAAACUAUAAUAUCUAUGAAUUUGAGCAUUUUUAUGCCUAAUGAACAUAAUAUCAAUUUUUGAUUUUUUUGCGAAGUUUCCCUUUAAGGACAAAACAAGGAAUGAUUAUUUAUUCUUUUUAAGGAAAACAUUUAUUGUUGUAAAAUAUUAUUAUUUUAUUCUCACAGGCGCUAAUUUUCCUUCCCUGGGUGCUUUUUCCUUUCCCCGGGAGCUCUCGGGCGCUUUUUAGUAGGACCGUCAAAUUAAAAACACACAUUUACAUCUAAAUGAACUUGGCGACUACUUGAUGUUUACACCAGAAUAGAAUGUAUAUACAUUAUCAUAUUCAAUAGUAUAAAAAAAAUAAAACAAUGAUUACUGUAAGUAUGUAUACUAUUAAUCUUGGUGGUCUACAUCCUGUUUUAACAUUACAAAGUAUUUUUAUUUUAAAUUUUAAUCAUUUAUGUUGUGGUAUUCUUUUUUCCAGCAUCAAACAUUUGUCUACUUGAUGGAUUCUGCCAAGCUGAAGACUGGUACAGUGUGUAUUCACUAUUGUUUCAUGCAUUGACCACCAUCAAACAAUGUUCAACUUCCCGAAAUUAAAGAAGUGUUUCUUUGUUCUGAUAAUGCAGGAUGUUACAAGUGUGGACAAAUUUGGCUUGUGAUGAAUGAACUUAAUCAGCAAUCAGGUAAAGCUAACAAAACCUUUAAACAGACUUAUUAAGAAGGGAUAUACUAGUAGUUACUAUACUGUUGUCACGUCACUAAAGAAUGCUUAUUUUGGCUUUAAUAUAUAUUGAUUCACUUAUAGGGUCUUUGCAUCGGAAGUUACAAACACACUUAUUUUAAAACCAGUUGUUGGCAUGACAAGGAUUAUGUUCUUCUAAUAUAUUUUAUUAUGGUAUAAUACUAAUUAAACCCCUAGCAGGAGCCCUCUGGAUUGUGCUUGAUAUUCAUAUGAUGAAGACAUAAUCUUUCAAUCAGUUUAAUUGAAGUCUGGAGCUGGCAUGUCAGUAUAACUGCUAGUAGUCUGUUGUUUAUAUUUAUGUACUAUUGUCAUUUUGUUUAUUUUCUUUUGUUUAUACCUCUUCUGACAUUGGACUCGGACUUCUCUUGAACUGUGUUUUACUGUGUGUUUUGUUAUGCGUUUAUUUUUCUACAUUGGCUAGAGGUAUUAAGGGAGGGUUAAUUUGAGAUGUCAAAAUCAUGUUUGACCCCGCCGCAUGUUUGCGCCUGUCCCUUUUGUUAAUCUUGUAUUAAUUUUUUUUUGUAUGAGUUUCUUGUGUAUAAUUCAGAGUUUUAAUAGUAUGAAGUUCAUUAUCACUGACCUGAUGUAGAUAUUUUUUUAGGGGCCAGCUGAAGGAUGCCUCCGGGUGCGGGAGUUUCUCGCUACAUUGAAGACCCAUUGGUGACCUUCUGUUGUUGACUGUUCUAUGGUCGGGUUGUUGUCUCUUUGACACAUUCCCCAUUUCCAUUCUCAUUUUAUACAUUUUCAUGCAGCGUUGUUGACGAGCUUUUGGCAUCAAUUUGUAUUUGUCAUCCAUUGAAUUUUCUUCAAUGAUAUCUCUGAAACCAUGAAACAGCAUGAUCAGUGAAGAACAUGCUAAUCUGGGAAUGAAUAUACACACAACAACAGCAACAAACUUUUGUCACAAUUUUUUUUUAAAACUAAAAAAUGUACCUUCAUAAAAUUUACUAUAAAAACUUCAUGUUACAUAUAUACUGUGAUAUUUAUUAUGCGAUGCAUUAUCAGAAAUUUUUGUCUCAGUUUUCUCAACAACUUUAUGCAAUUUAUCCUAUGAUACAUAAUAGAAUGUAUACUGUUUUCCUGACCGUCACUUCCCGUUUACAACAUAAUGAAACACAGGCGACAUAAUUUAGGCUCCAUCUAGUUGUUUUUGUUUUUAACAUUCACAUUUAAUAUAUAGAAUAAUUGAGCAAGGGAUAAACAAACAUACAUAUUCAAACUUUAUGGUGGAUUAAUUGAACAUUUUGUUUUAAGUUGUUGCUUCAAGUAUUUUCAUUUAAAAUUCCUUAUUAUAUUACCUCUGUUUUAUAGGCAUCAUCAUAAGGCGAUAUAAUUAUAGUGAACCCCAACUUAAAAAACUGAAAAGUUUAAUCAGGGUCAGUUAACUGGGCAUAUAGUUGAAGCCGCUGAUGAUGUACAUGGUAUGCGAUCUGCUGUCACUGAAGAUGGAUAUAGAUGAUUUGGUAGAUCUGAUUGGCUGCAAGUGACCCAAAUUACAGCCUUUUUUCUAGACUGGCACAGACAUUAUGUUCGUUUUCUAAGAAAGAUGAUGACUUUACACUGAAUACUUUAGUGGCAGAUGAUGUUGACGAUUUAAGGGCCAUUGUGACAACUUUAGAUGCACAGGAUAUAAACCAAGA